rnacentral:tRNA from 1 species
GCCCGGGUGGUGAAAUUAGACACAAGAGACUUAAAAUCUCUCGGCCUCUGGCUGUACGGGUUCGACCCCGUCCCGGGCACCA